GUCUUCAGACACCACUGCUAAAACCAAAACUUCCCAUAAAGACAGUGCAAGAUGCCUACGACGACAGGACGUCAGAGACAACAGCUGCCUGGAGUGUCUAUGAGAGACCAGGACGACCUGCGCACACACAGAGGAAGGACCCAAGGAGGAUGCAGGAGGAGGAAGACAGCCAUCUGUCCACAUCCAAUAAGAGGGACCUAGGGAGAAACAAACUCCAAAGAGACUUUACUCUAAUCUGGGCCAUUCAGCCUCCAACUCAGUGAGAGAACAAACUUCAGUUGUUCAUGCUACCCUCUCUGGGGGCCUUUGUGAUGGUGGCUCUAGGUGCCACAGGAAAGUCUUCCAAUUCCAGAAGAUCUCAUUUUCAUUAGCAACAAACACAGCAGAAGUAUGGAUGCUCUUGGACCAGAAAUAUUGAUGUGCUGGAUAGUGGAAGAACGUGUGGGCAGAUUAAAAUAAAAAUUG